rnacentral:lncRNA from 10 species
UUACUGACAUUGUUAGGAAUUAUUAUUAUUGGGCCAGGCAUGGUGGCUCACCCCUGUAAUCCCAGCACUUUGGGAGGCCAAGGUGUCAGAAAUGUUAAAACAUCUGUAAACAUGGGUGUCUUCAAAUUCAUGAAAAAUGCUAAAUAUAUUUUUCUUUAAAAAUAUUUUUUAACCAUAAAAAUCACACUUAUUGGCUGGGCGUGGUGGCUCAUGCCUGUAAUCCCAGUGAGCCACUGCACGUGACCAAAUUCUUUUACUAUUGUCUACCCAUGGCUUUGCAGCCAUGUAAAGUUUACCCAUGUCUUUGGGGCAAGUCAUGUCAGAAAAACAGAGCUUAUAUGGUUCACAUCUGUGUCACUGCCCAAAUCUCAUGUCAAAUUAUUAUCCCUAGUGUUGGAGGUGGGGUCUGGGGGAGGGGACUGGAUCAUGGGGGUGAUUUCUCAUGGAUCGUUUAGUACCACCCCCCUAGUGCUGUUCUCAUGACAGAGUUCUCACAAGAUCUGGUUGUUUAAAAGUGUGUAGGCCGGGAGCAGAGGCUCACGCCUAUAAUCCUAGUACUUUGGGAGGCUGAGGUGGGUGGAUCACUUGAGUUCAGGAGUUCAAGACCAGCCUGGUCAACAUGGUGAAACCCUGUCUCUACUAAAAAUACGAAAAUUAGCUGGGCAUGCUGGCAGGCGCCUAUAAUCCCAGCUACUCGAGAGGCUGAGGCAGGAGAGUCGCUUGAACCCAGAGGGCGGAGGUUGAAGUGAGCCGAGAUUGCACCACUUCACUCCAGCCUGGGCAGAAGAGCGAAACUCCAUCUCAAAAAAAAAAAGGCCGAGCGCGGUGGCUCACGCCUGUAAUCCCAGCACUUUGGGAGGCUGAGGCAGGCGGAUCACGAGGUCAGGAGAUCAAGACCAUCCUGGCUAACAUGGUGAAACCCCGUCUCUACUAAAAAUAAAAAAAAUUAGCGGGGCGAGGUGGCGGGCGCCUGUAGUCCCAGCUACUCGGGAGGCUGAGGCAGGAGAAUGGCAGUGAACCCGGGGGGCGGAGCCUGCAGUGAGCCGAGAUCACGCCACGGCACUCCAGCCUGGGCGACAGAGCGAGAUUCCGUCUCAAAAAAAAAAAAAAAAGUGUGUAGCACCUCCCCCAGCCUUCCUCCUGUUCCGGCCAGCCGUGUGAAGCGCCAGCUCUCCCUUUGCUUUCCACUAUGAUUGGAAGCUUCCUGAGGCAUCCCCAGAAGCAGAAGCCACUAUAUUCCCUGUAUAGCCUGCAGAACCAUGAGCCAAUUAAAACUCUUUUCUCUAUAAAUUACCAGUCUCAGGUAUUUCUUUAUAGCACCACAAGAACAGACUAAUAUAAGAGCCAAGUCUCUCCAACCUAGUCACCUGCUUUCCCCUCUGCAAAUUUUGGCUCCCCAGGGUCCUGAAGUCCCGGCCACUACCUGGCUGCAGGACAGGUGUCUAGAUCUACAGCCCUGAAGCAGGCAGUCACUCCAGGAUCAUGGGUACUACUCAGGAAGAAAAAGUACUAACCUGAAUGUUCUAAAACCCCUGCAUCUCCAGUCUUGGUACUGGUGACAUCAGGCCCAAGCAGCACUUUGAGUGGUACUGGUGACAUCAGGCCCAAGCAGCACUUUGAGUGGUACUGGUGACAUCAGGCCCAAGCAGCACUUUGAGUGGCAAUGAUUCUUUAUAUACAUAUAUGUAUAUGUAUAUAUAAGGGUCUCACUCUGUUGCCUAGGCUGGAAUUCAGUAGUGUGAUCAUGGCACAUUGCAGCCUCAACCUCCCAGGCUCAAGCAAUCCUCCCACCUCAGCCUCCCAAGUAGCUGGGACAUAGGCACGUGCCCGGGUAUUUUGUGUGUGUGGGUGUGUAGAGACAGGGUCUCAUUAUAUUGCCCAGACUGGCUUUAAACUUCUGGGCUCAAGCAAUCCUCCUGCCUCAGCCUCCCAAAAUCCUGGGAUUACAGGUGUGGGCCACCAUGCCCAGCCCUUAAAUAUACAUUUUUUUGAGCCAGGGUCUCACUCACUGUCACCAGACUGGAGUGCAGUGGUGCAAUCACAGCUCACUGCAACCUCAAACUCCUGGGCUGAAGUGAUCAUCCCACCUCAGCCUCUUGAAUAGCUGGGACUACUUGAGCCAGGUGUGUACAACCAGGCCUGGCCAAUAUUUACUUUUUUGUAGAGAUGGGUCUUCCUAUGUUGUCCAGAUUGGUCUUGAACUCCUAGGCUUCAGUGAUCCUCCUGCCUCAGCCUGCCAAAGUGUUGGGAUUACAGGUGUGAGCCACCGUGCCCAGCCAUGAUUCAUUUUAAUAGAAGGGCUACAGGAAGCAAAACAAACCUAAUUUCCACAAGGAACCUGGCCAAGUCACAGGCACACUGG